rnacentral:tRNA from 1 species
CAUUAAAUGUCCGAAUAUAGGUGGUAGAUUUUUAAUCUAUUUAUGAUAAAUGUUAUCUUUAGUGG